AUCCAGCUCACGAGUCCCGAAUAGGACGAAACGAGCAUCCUGGAU
rnacentral:hammerhead_ribozyme from 1 species